CUUGACUCUCUGCGAGAUAAACUGCUGAAGGUGCAAAGAUUUGAAGUGUGAUCACUGUAACCAUGCUGAAGCUAGCUCUUGUGCUUGGAUGCCUCCUGAGCCUGGCUCUGGCUCGUCCUAAUGACAUGGAGCAUAAACGACUUGCUCGUUCAAGCUCAUCUGAGUCAAAUUCAGGAGAGAGUACCACCACUACCACAGCUACGACUACUACCCAGGCUGGGGCAACCACAACCCCCAAUAUUGCUGCACUCAUACAACUACUGCUGCGGCUACUUAAUGGGAA